GGGUCCCAGUACCUGGUCCAGGAGGCAGCGUCUCCCUCCCGUCCGGGAUAAGACACCCCCUCCGCGGGUCCCCUGUCCACUCUGGAGAGGCAGCCCCCACUUGGAGGGACCAGGACCCGAGCCCUGCCCAUCCCCGAAUCCUGGGAGCCCUGCGUGGGGAGUGUCGAGGGCCUGGGUCGGGGGGCAAACUAGUGUGGAGCAAUGAAUCCCGGAAACCCGGCUGCUCACUAAUUACCCAGUAACUAUGGAGGUCCCCCGAAGGACAGACCUGUGCCCUUGAGGCAGGGCCCUGAAGGAGGACAUUAGAACACUAUUUAAAGAGUGUACAUCUCCUAGUGAAGCAAAUGAUAAACUUUCCCACCUACAAAGUGUGAGAUAUUGGCAAUGUAAAGAUGUGAAGAGAGAUACGCCAACUUUAAUGGAGGACCUACCAAGUUCCAGGCAGCAUUCCGAGCCCUGGAAUCCGGUGAUGAACAUGACAGACAAGAUUCCUGCCCCCAAGGAGCUGCACCUUAAUAAGUCCCGCAAUGAAGGAGACAGAACAUAAACAGAGGAAAAUACACAGGAUGCCAGCUUGUGAGAAGUGCUAGCAAAAAAAGACACAAGUAUGUCCAGAGAGUCUGAGGUGUAUACAGGUAUACAGAGUUCAAUUCUUCUGGGGCAGAUGGCAGGAAAACUUUCUAAAAAUAAGUACCAUGUUUUUAGUAGAAGCCA